rnacentral:rRNA from 1 species
AACGAACGCUGGCGGCGUGUCUUAAGCAUGCAAGUCGAGCGGCAAGGGGGAGCAAUCCCCCCUAGAGCGGCGGACUGGUGAGUAACACGUGGGUGACCUGCCUUUGUCAUGGGGAUAGCCAUUAGAAAUAGUGGGUAAUACCGAAUACGCUUGUGCCUGGAAGGGGUACAAGGAAAGGCGCUACGGCGCCGGGCGAAGAUGGGCCCGCGUCCCAUUAGCUUGUUGGUGAGGUAACGGCCCACCAAGGCGAUGAUGGGUAGCCGGCCUGAGAGGGUGUACGGCCACACUGGGACUGAGAUACGGCCCAGACUCCUACGGGAGGCAGCAGCUAAGAAUAUUCCGCAAUGGACGAAAGUCUGACGGAGCGACGCCGCGUGGAUGACGAAGGCCGAAAGGUUGUAAAAUCCUUUUGCUGGGGAAGAAUAAGUCUGGGAGGGAAUGCCCGGAUGAUGACAUGAACCGGCGAAUAAGCCCCGGCUAACUACGUGCCAGCCGCCGCAGUAACAC